UUUCCAAUUGGAUUCAGUGCAAAGGCAUUUGUGCUAACCCUUGACUUGUUGCUUUGACCUAAUGUAAUUAGGUUUGAACCUAUAAUUAAAUAGAUAUCUUAUCUAGUUUUUAUGAAAGAGUUUCAUAUAAAAUCAACCUCCCUCAUGCCAAAACCUCAGGCCAAAUAAAAGCUCCACCCAUUUAAUUUUAGCAUUAAGAAGGAGAGUCCUUCUUAACGAAGCUUCUUAGUUCUUUCCUUUAUUUCCAUGCAUUUUGUUUAUUUCUCAUGUCAUGUGAUGACCCUUGGGAUAUGUGGGCAUGGA
rnacentral:lncRNA from 1 species